UAGGCUGUUCUAUGUGAGGCCAGUGUGAAAAAACUGAGACUGUUUUCUUAUUAAUACACAGAAACCAACACAGAGAUACAAGGAAAAUGAAGAAACAGGGAAAUAUGUUCCAAAUAAUAGAACAAAAUUAAUUUCCAGAAACCAACCCUACUGAAAUGGAGAUAAUGUGAUUUACCCAACAGGCAAUUCAAAAGAAUCAUCACAAAGAUGCUCACCAAGAGCAACUUCCAGUCCUGCAGCCUCCAUUCUUGGUAAGUACCCUAUACAAGUGUACCAUUUUUUACUUUUCAUGCUGUUUUUUUUACUGUACCUUUUGUGUGUUUAGAUAUGUUUAGAUACAUAAAUACUUACCAUUGUGUUCUGUGGGCAGCAAGCCACCCAGGUGCCGAGGCAAGAGACCGAGGGCAUGGGCUGUUUCAGUAUAAUAAAAUAUAUAAAAUAACAAGAAUUACACUAGAUACAGAUCACAGAUAUGAUUAUACACAAGUAUCACUAAUCAUUAGUUUGUAGUAAUUACUCUUUAUUCAAAUAUUAUAAUAAUCUUCACUCUACAAUCAUAACCUAGGAAAAACCAGGCCAUACAGAGGUAUGAGCUGAAGGGACAUGGUGAGAAGUGACCAGAAGACAAGUGUGUGAGCCUCUGUUAUGCCCGGACAGGGCCACCAGAGGGCUCCUUGGUCUAGCGGAACGUUAGCGUCUGGGAAGACGCCUGUUACCAAGCGGAUUGUGGUCUAGCAGUAGCGUCAGUGCCAAGGAAAAGCACCCACUACUUAGCAGACCAGCAAAGGGAGUCUCCCUUUCCCCGGGGGAGUUUAGAGAAGACUCUACUCCACCAUGUCUUGUGGAGGGCCUGACAUGAGUCAGGCCCGCCCGCAGUUAUCUGGAGGUCUAACCGUCUUCCUGUGAUGCUGUGCUUCAGUGGUCACACUACUGGUCCGCUUUCAUGUUCCAUCCUGUACACCUGGCCCUGCCUUCUAGAUAGCAGUAACAAAAUUAGUGAAAGUACUAAAAGUCUCUGAUAUGCAGAAAUAAUGCGUAAGCUGUCUUCUCUCUCUCUCCGCUUCAGCUGCCAAACAGGGAAGGGCCCCCUGUCCAGUGGACACGUGACCCACGUGACCUUACCUAUCAUUGGAGAUGGCUCACACUCCUUACCCUGCCCCCCUUGUCUUGUAUCCAAUAAAUAACAGUGCAGCCUGGCAUUCGGGGCCACUAUCAGUCUCUGUGUCUUGGUGGUAGUGGCUCACCCGGGCCCAGGUGUCUUUUAUCUCUUUGUCUUGUGUCUUUAUUUCUACCACCUCUAGUCUCUGCACACAGGGAGAAAAACCCACAGACCUUGUAGGGCUGGUCCCUACAGUGUUCCAACUGUAUUCAGUACAGUAACAUACUGUAUAGCUUUGUAGUUUAGGAGCAACAGGUUAUACCAUGUAGCCUAAGUGUUCAGUCAGCUAUACCAUCUAGGUUUGUGUCAGUACACUCCAUAAUGAUGAAAUUGCCCAACAAUGCAUUUCUCAGAAUGUAUCCUUUUUUUUUUUGAGACCGAGUCUCACUCUGUCGCCCAGGCUGGAGUGCAGUGGUGCAAUCUUGGCUCACUGCAACCUCUGCCUCCUGGGUUCAAGCGAUUCUCCUGCCUCAGCCUCCCGAGUAGCUGGGACUACAGGCGCGCACCACCAUGCCCGGCUAAUUUUUGCAUUUUUAGUAUAGACGGGGUUUACACCAUGUUGCCCAGGCUGGUCUCAAACCCCUCAGCCUCCCAAAGUGCUGGGAUUUCAGGCGUGAACCACCGCACCCGGCCAGAAUAUAUCCUUAUUAUUUAUUUAUUUAUUUUUUUUUAAUUGAUCAUUCUUGGGUGUUUCUUGCAGAGGGGGAUUUGGCAGGGUCAUAGGACGAUAGUGGAGGGAAUGUCAGCAGAUAAACAAGUGAACAAAGGUCUCUGGUUUUCCUAGGCAGAGGACCCUGCGGCCUUCGGCAGUGUUUGUGUCCCUGGGUACUUAAGAUUAGGGAGUGGUGAUGACUCUUAACGAGCAUGCUGCCUUCAAGCAUCUGUUUAACA
rnacentral:lncRNA from 1 species